rnacentral:misc_RNA from 1 species
ACACAUAAUAUAUAUUCGCAAAAAUCUUCUAUCUAAUAUUUUCGUCAACUACUGUAUACACAUUUAUUAGAUAUUUGUGUGAGAUUAAAAUCGACAGAUACGAUAAAAGAAUAUUGUAGAGGUAUAGCAAUAAGAAAGUACAAGGAAAGUAUAGCUCGUUAAUUUGAAUUACACCAGAUUGUCAGUCAUCUAUUAGGUCGUGUUAAUCUCUGAAUAAAUUCUUAAAUAAAUAAGUGUUAAUUAAACGAGAGAAACUUAGCAUUUAUUAGUAUUUGUGCUUCUACAUUACAUAAUGAAUAGGUCCUUUAGGGAAGAACAGAGAGACGGUUCGCUGAAUUCCGUCUGCUUUUGGUUCUUGCUAUUCCAAAACAAAUUUG